GAUGAACGCUAGCUACAGGCUUAACACAUGCAAGUCGAGGGGCAGCGGUAUCGAAAGCUUGCUUUCGGUAGCCGGCGACUGGCGCACGGGUGAGUAACGCGUAUCGAACCUGCCUCAUACUCGGGAAUAGCCUUGCGAAAGUAAGAUUAAUGCCCGGUGUUUUCAGAGUCCCGCAUGAGGCUUUGAACAAAGAUUUAUCGGUAUGAGAUGGCGAUGCGUCCCAUUAGCUUGUUGGCGGGGUAACGGCCCACCAAGGCAUCGAUGGGUAGGGGUUCUGAGAGGAAGGUCCCCCACAUUGGAACUGAGACACGGUCCAAACUCCUACGGGAGGCAGCAGUGAGGAAUAUUGGUCAAUGGGCGGAAGCCUGAACCAGCCAAGUAGCGUGCAGGAAGACGGCCCUCCGGGUUGUAAACUGCUUUUAGUUGGGAAUAAAACGGGGCUCGUGAGCCCCCUUGCAUGUACCAUCAGAAAAAGGACCGGCUAAUUCCGUG
rnacentral:rRNA from 1 species